CCUACGGGAUGCAGCAGUGAGGAAUAUUGGUCAAUGGUCGGGAGACUGAACCAGCCAAGCCGCGUGAGUGAUGAAGGUACAGAGUAUCGUAAACCUCUUUUGUCAGGGAACAAAGGCGGGGACGUGUCCCCGGCUGAGUGUACCUUAAGAAAAAGCAUCGGCUAACUCCGUGCCAGCAGCCGCGGUAAUACGGAGGAUGCGAGCGUUAUCCGGAUUUAUUGGGUUUAAAGGGUGCGCAGGCGGUCUGUUAAGUCAGCGGUAAAAGCCCGGGGCUCAACCCCGGCCCGCCGUUGAAACUGGCAGUCUCGAGUUGGAGAGAAGUAUGCGGAAUGCGCGGUGUAGCGGUGAAAUGCAUAGAUAUCGCGCAGAACUCCGAUUGCGAAGGCAGCAUGCCGGCUCCACACUGACGCUGAGGCACGAAAGCGUGGGUAGCAAACAGGAUUAGAUACCCCUGUAGUC
rnacentral:rRNA from 1 species